AUUGAACGCUGGCGGCAGGCCUAACACAUGCAAGUCGAGCGAGCGGCGGACGGGUGAGUAAUGUAUGGGAACCUGCCCGAUAGCGGGGGAUAACUACUGGAAACGGUGGCUAAUACCGCAUACUAUCGGAUGAACCCAUAUGGGAUUAGCUAGUAGGUGGGGUAAAGGCUCACCUAGGCCACGAUCCCUAGCUGGUCUGAGAGGAUGACCAGCCACACUGGGACUGAGACACGGCCCAGACUCCUACGGGAGGCAGCAGUGGGGAAUAUUGCACAAUGGGGGCAAGCCUGAUGCAGCCAGGCCGCGUGUAUGAAGAAGGACUUCGGGUUGUAAAGUACUUUUAGCGGGGAGGCGUUACCCGCAGAAGAAGCACCGGCUAACUACGUGCCAGCAGCCGCGGUAAUAC
rnacentral:rRNA from 1 species